GCCAUACGGCCACGUCGGUAUCCAGCGACGAUGGGAUGGCCGCUGAGCAGCCCAGGGCCUCUCCGUUCUGGGCUCGGUGUCCGGCCAGGCUCCACCUCCUCCUCCCCUACCUUUUCCUCUACUAUCUCUGUUUUGUGCUUGUCAUAUGUUUGAUGGAAUGAACAACCCCCAUGAUUCAGUCAUUCAAGUUGGUUCAUACAGAUUGGUAGUGGUUCACUUACGGAUCAACUUAUUAGAUUAUGUAUUUCGUUUUUAUUAUUGCUGACAUGUAUCAGGAAAGAUUCCAUUUGAUACAUAUAUACAAGUUGUUUGUACCAUGUUUUUUUUCUUAUAUGAAUUCGACUUGUUCACAUUCACAACCUGACCUUGGCCUGAUUUCACUAUGUCCAUACUUCUCGUUAGCUCUAGGAGUGGAGAAUGGAGGCAAGGCCUUCAAGACAAUGGCAACAGGGUUGAUGGAGAAGGAGAACAGGACCUGGUUUGUCAUUUCUGUGGCAUAUUACUCCUAUUCUGCUGAAUAGGCAAUCUUAUAAAUUUGUGCAUCUCUGAUUCUUUGAAUGUCUUGCUUGAAGUGUGAAGUUUCCAACUAUAAUUAAUUCGAUAACCUUCACAAACGAGUGCAACUUCAUAGUAAGAUACAGUAUUGCACUUUUGUGCGAUUUCAUGUGCAUCCUUGUGAAUAAAAUCAAAUGGUGGCAAUAUUGUUGAUGUACAAAGAUGUUCGAUCAAGUCCCUUGUGAUUGAUAAAGCUGAAUUAUUAUUGCCACUGAUAUAGUAAUGUAUUUACCCAUAUUCUCGACAUUUGCUUAUUUUUUUGGGUAGCUGCCAAUCGUUCACCAGCUCAAUAAGUUGGGGGUGCAUACCAAGCUGCUCCCCAAAAUAGUCCCUGAUCAACCUAUUUUGUGAUAAACUGACAGGGCAGACAUUUUCUUGGUUCUCUUGGUAACCCAAGGCAGUAUUCUAACUUGUAACAGAAUUGGCUAUGUACUUAUUUCAAUCCUACCUAAGAAAUAAACUUUGCAUAUUAUCUUUAUGAUUUAUUGAUUUUUUUACUUUUUAAAAUGUUCCCUGGUAUGCUCCGCUUUUACUUAACAAUUUGUUGUACAAUACUUAUAUACCUAAUUUCCUAUUUCAAAUUGCAGCUGAUAGCAACUUGGAGAUUUCUCUCGGCCGGCAACCUCCAUCAUUGGCUCCUCUUUGUCUCCUCCAUCCCACCUUCACGACAGCAAAAGAGGCAACCGGCAGAUGGCUCGAGGACGCUGGAUAGAUGUGGUCGUCCUCAGCACUGUGGUGGUCUGUUACAUAUCAGCAUUCUAGAAUUGAUAUUAGGAAAGGAGAUGCAAGGAAGGUCUUGAUUUUGCACAGAUUUUCCGUCUCAGGUACCCUGUACAACCACUUCAUUUUCUCAAAUCAGCUACAAGAUGUCCCUUGCAUGUACAAUCCUCUCUCCAUUAUGUGCAAACUAUUAUUGCUAUAUAGAUGAUUUAUUCGUUACAAAAUAUAUUUGUGCUAUGUUUGAGACAGGCAUCAGAUGACAAUAAGAUAUAAAAGUCCAUGUUCCUGACAUAGGUGCAUUCUUUCAGUAUAGAGUUCAGUAAACAGAUCAUAUGUUGUAGUACCUUCACAGUUUCACACCAUGUGGAUUACUGUCUGACCUCAUGAGAGUUCUGCUAUAAUUUUAACUUGUCACAUUGCGUAAGACAGGAGGAGAAGCACAAGCCGCUGCAGCAUCACUGGGCUGCGACCAUGAAAGAUGUGAUCUCCUGCUCUGUGGCUGCUGCACCGCGGAGAGAUGAGGUGAGCCGACCACAUAAGUAUCCUUAUUUGUGUAUUGACAAUGGUCAUUGUUGUCUUUUGGCUAAAAUAUUGAGAAUGGGCAAGCAUUUGUGAUGAUUUUUUUAUUGCCAGUUUGUUGGUCUUUUAUAAAUCUGCAACUUUAAAUAUGAUGAAUUUUGUGUUUUAUGGUUAUACUGGAAUAAGGUUGAUUCGGCACACUGUGUAUUAGUGAUUGCAACAUUCUCCUAUGAAAAUCUGCAUCCUGGUACCAAAAGGUUAUGAAGGAUGUACCAAAAUAUUUAUAUGCAUAAAUUUUAAUUUGAUUUGUCCUCAUUUUCAUGUAAUAGUUCAAAUGCAAUUUAGCUCAAAUCACUUCCCUCGCUGCUUUUUUCUUGCUUUGCCGCUUGUAGAAAAGCAACCUCAAAUGGAACUGACCCAAGAAACAUGUUGGAACUAUUGAUAAGACAAGUACUGUAAGUUGAAACUUUUUUAUGGAGUGAUAUUCAGUGGUUAUUUUGUAAGCACAUAGAUGCACUCUUACCUAUUACAUCAGUGAACAAAAUAUGUGACAAGGUAAGAACUUUCACUCAUGUAAGUGUAUGGAAAUUUAUUUUCCUACAAUUAUUUGUCUUAUCUUCUCCUAAUCUGAUCAUUCAUGAUGUAUAUAUUAUAUCCUUUCUUGUCUCGAGAAACAAGCAAUGUCCAUCUAUUGUAAUGGCCAGCCAAGAGACACAUGUAAGCUAACAGUUGACGUCGCUUUAUUCCCUAGAGGUCAAGCUAAACACCGAACUCGCUGCCGUUGUUGGGAAGCACAACAGAGGUUGCAGGCUGUUGCAGUGAUGCAUGCCAACUACCAGAGUUUGUCACCAAAAA